CCGUAAGGAGAGCGGGAGCCGGGAAUGGAAAGCCCGGUACAAGCGAGGUACCAGUAUGGUAGGAAAAACCGCCAUGCAAUGGGAAGACGUGAUGUGGAGUGAAAUAUAGAAACGAAGCCCGUGAGCCAUGCGUCAAGAAAAGCCGCUAUUGUUUAUAUUGUACCCGUACCGUAAACCGACACAGGUGGAUGAGGAGAGAAUCCUAAGGCCGGCGGAAGAAGUAUUGCCAAGGAACUCGGCAAAAUGGCCCCGUAACUUAGGGAGAAGGGGUGCCUGCGAGAGCAGGCCGCAGAGAAUAGGCUCAAGCAACUGUUUAGCAAAAACACAGGUCUAUGCGAAACCGAAAGGUGAGGUAUAUGGGCUGACGCCUGCCCGGUGCUGGAAGGUUAAGAGGAGAGGUUAGACGCAAGUCGAAGCUUUGAAUUUAAGCCCCAGUAAACGGCGGCCGUAACAAUAACGGUCCUAAGGUAGCGAAAUUCCUUGUCGGGUAAGUUCCGACCCGCACGAAAGGCGUAAUGAUUUGAGCGCUGUCUCGGCAAUACAUCCGGUGAAAUUGAAGUGCCAGUGAAGAUGCUGGCUACCCGCGCCAGGACGGAAAGACCCCAUGGAGCUUUACUCCAGUUUGGCACUGGGGUCCGGUGUUGCAUGUACAGGAUAGGUGGGAGGCUGAGAGAUAGUGACGUCAGUUGCUAUGGAGCCGCUGUUGGGAUACCACCCUUGUGAUAUUGGGCUUCUAACCAGCCGCCGUGAACCGGCGGUGGGACAAUGCCAGGCGGGGAGUUUGACUGGGGCGGUCGCCUCCGAAAGGGUAUCGGAGGCGCCCAAAGGUUCCCUCAGAAUGGACGGAAACCAUUCGAAGAGUGCAAAGGCAGAAGGGAGCUUGACUGCGACACCGACGGGUGGAGCAGGUACGAAAGUAGGGCUUAGUGAUCCGGUGGUAUUAAGUGGGAAUGCCAUCGCUCAACGGAUAAAAGCUACCCUGGGGAUAACAGGCUUAUCACUCCCAAGAGUUCACAUCGACGGAGUGGUUUGGCACCUCGAUGUCGGCUCAUCGCAUCCUGGGGCUGUAGUAGGUCCCAAGGGUUGGGCUGUUCGCCCAUUAAAGCGGUACGCGGGCUGGGUUCAGAACGUCGUGAGACAGUUCGGUCCCUAUCCGGCGUGGGCGUAGGAUAUCUGAGAGGAGCUGUCCUUAGUACGAGAGGACCGGGAUGGACGGACCGCUGGUGGACCGGUUGGCUUGCCAAAGCCAUGGCCGGGUAGCCAAGUCCGGAAGGGAUAAACGCUGAAGGCAUCUAAGCGUGAAGCCCCCCUCAAGAUGAGAUAUCCCAUUCUUUAAGAAGUAAACCCCCUUGAAGACGACGAGGUAGAUAGGGCAGAGGUGGAAGUGUGGUAACACAUGGAGCUGACUGUUACUAAUCGGGUGAGGGCUUGACCU
rnacentral:rRNA from 1 species